rnacentral:rRNA from 1 species
GAGGGAAAGGUGAAAAGCACCCCGGAAGGGGAGUGAAAGAGAUCCUGAAACCGUGUGCCUACAAAUAGUCAGAGCCCGUUAAUGGGUGAUGGCGUGCCUUUUGUAGAAUGAACCGGCGAGUUACGAUCCCGUGCGAGGUUAAGCUGAAGAGGCGGAGCCGCAGCGAAAGCGAGUCUGAAUAGGGCGUUUAGUACGUGGUCGUAGACCCGAAACCAGGUGAUCUACCCAUGUCCAGGGUGAAGUUCAGGUAACACUGAAUGGAGGCCCGAACCCACGCACGUUGAAAAGUGCGGGGAUGAGGUGUGGGUAGCGGAGAAAUUCCAAUCGAACCUGGAGAUAGCUGGUUCUCCCCGAAAUAGCUUUAGGGCUAGCCUUAAGUGUAAGAGUCUUGGAGGUAGAGCACUGAUUGAACUAGGGGUCCUCAUCGGAUUACCGAAUUCAGUCAAACUCCGAAUGCCAAUGACUUAUCCUUAGGAGUCAGACUGCGAGUGAUAAGAUCCGUAGUCAAGAGGGAAACAGCCCAGAUCGCCAGCUAAGGUCCCAAAGUGUGUAUUAAGUGGAAAAGGAUGUGGAGUUGCUUAGACAACUAGGAUGUUGGCUCAGAAGCAGCCACCAUUUAAAGAGUGCGUAAUAGCUCACUAGUCGAGUGACUCUGCGCCGAAAAUGUACCGGGGCUAAAUACACCACCGAAGCUGCGAAUUGAUACCAAUGGUAUCAGUGGUAGGGGAGCGUUCUAAGUGCAGUGAAGUCAGACCGGAAGGACUGGUGGAGCGCUUAGAAGUGAGAAUGCCGGUAUGAGUAGCGAAAGACGGGUGAGAAUCCCGUCCACCGAAUGCCUAAGGUUUCCUGAGGAAGGCUCGUCCGCUCAGGGUUAGUCAGGACCUAAGCCGAGGCCGACAGGCGUAGGCGAUGGACAACAGGUUGAUAUUCCUGUACCACCUCUUUAUCGUUUGAGCAAUGGAGGGACGCAGAAGGAUAGAAGAAGCGUGCGAUUGGUUGUGCACGUCCAAGCAGUUAGGCUGAUAAGUAGGCAAAUCCGCUUAUCGUGAAGGCUGAGCUGUGAUGGGGAAGCUCCUUAUGGAGCGAAGUCUUUGAUUCCCCGCUGCCAAGAAAAGCUUCUAGCGAGAUAAAAGGUGCCUGUACCGCAAACCGACACAGGUAGGCGAGGAGAGAAUCCUAAGGUGUGCGAGAGAACUCUGGUUAAGGAACUCGGCAAAAUGACCCCGUAACUUCGGGAGAAGGGGUGCUUUCUUAACGGAAAGCCGCAGUGAAUAGGCCCAAGCGACUGUUUAGCAAAAACACAGGUCUCUGCGAAGCCGUAAGGCGAAGUAUAGGGGCUGACACCUGCCCGGUGCUGGAAGGUUAAGGAGAGGGGUUAGCGUAAGCGAAGCUCUGAACUGAAGCCCCAGUAAACGGCGGCCGUAACUAUAACGGUCCUAAGGUAGCGAAAUUCCUUGUCGGGUAAGUUCCGACCCGCACGAAAGGUGUAACGAUUUGGGCACUGUCUCAACCAGAGACUCGGUGAAAUUAUAGUACCUGUGAAGAUGCAGGUUACCCGCGACAGGACGGAAAGACCCCGUGGAGCUUUACUGUAGCCUGAUAUUGAAUUUUGGUACAGUUUGUACAGGAUAGGCGGGAGCCAUUGAAACCGGAGCGCUAGCUUCGGUGGAGGCGCUGGUGGGAUACCGCCCUGACUGUAUUGAAAUUCUAACCUACGGGUCUCAUCGACCCGGGAGACAGUGUCAGGUGGGCAGUUUGACUGGGGCGGUCGCCUCCUAAAGUGUAACGGAGGCGCCCAAAGGUUCCCUCAGAAUGGUUGGAAAUCAUUCGUAGAGUGCAAAGGCAUAAGGGAGCUUGACUGCGAGACCUACAAGUCGAGCAGGGACGAAAGUCGGGCUUAGUGAUCCGGUGGUUCCGCAUGGAAGGGCCAUCGCUCAACGGAUAAAAGCUACCCCGGGGAUAACAGGCUUAUCUCCCCCAAGAGUCCACAUCGACGGGGAGGUUUGGCACCUCGAUGUCGGCUCAUCGCAUCCUGGGGCUGUAGUCGGUCCCAAGGGUUGGGCUGUUCGCCCAUUAAAGCGGUACGCGAGCUGGGUUCAGAACGUCGUGAGACAGUUCGGUCCCUAUCCGUCGUGGGCGCAGGAAAUUUGAGAGGAGCUGUCCUUAGUACGAGAGGACCGGGAUGGACGCACCGCUGGUGUACCAGUUGUUCUGCCAAGGGCAUAGCUGGGUAGCUAUGUGCGGAAGGGAUAAGUGCUGAAAGCAUCUAAGCAUGAAGCCCCCCUCAAGAUGAGAUUUCCCAUAGCGUAAGCUAGUAAGAUCCCUGAAAGAUGAUCAGGUUGAUAGGUUCGAGGUGGAAGCAUGGUGACAUGUGGAGCUGACGAAUACUAAUAGAUCGAGGACUUAACCAU